AACGAACGCUGGCGGCAGGCUUAACACAUGCAAGUCGAACGCAUCCUUCGGGGUGAGUGGCAGACGGGCGAGUAACGCGUGGGAACGUGCCCUUCAGUUCGGGAUAACCCAGGGAAACUCGGGAAAUACCGGAUACGUGCUGGUGAUGAAAGAUUUAUCGCUCAAGGAUCGGCCCGGGUCUGAUUAGAUAGUUGGUGGGGUAAUGGCCCACCAAGGCGAGGAUCAGUAGCUGGUCUGAGAGGAUGUUCAGCCACAUUGGGACUGAGACACGGCCCAAACUCCUACGGGAGGCAGCAGUGGGGAAUAUUGGACAAUGGGCUCAAGCCUGAUCCAGCCAUGCCGCGUGAGUGAUGAAGGCCUUAGGGUUGUAAAGCUCUUUCGUCCGGGACGAUAAUGACGGUACCGGAAGAAGAAGCCCCGGCUAACUUCGUGCCAGCAGCCGCCGUAA
rnacentral:rRNA from 1 species